rnacentral:rRNA from 1 species
GAACGCUAGCUACAGGCUUAACACAUGCAAGUCGAGGGGCAGCAUGGUCUUAGCUUGCUAAGGCCGAUGGCGACCGGCGCACGGGUGAGUAACACGUAUCCAACCUGCCGUCUACUCUUGGACAGCCUUCUGAAAGGAAGAUUAAUACAAGAUGGCAUCAUGAGUCCGCAUGUUCACAUGAUUAAAGGUAUUCCGGUAGACGAUGGGGAUGCGUUCCAUUAGAUAGUAGGCGGGGUAACGGCCCACCUAGUCUUCGAUGGAUAGGGGUUCUGAGAGGAAGGUCCCCCACAUUGGAACUGAGACACGGUCCAAACUCCUACGGGAGGCAGCAGUGAGGAAUAUUGGUCAAUGGGCGAGAGCCUGAACCAGCCAAGUAGCGUGAAGGAUGACUGCCCUAUGGGUUGUAAACUUCUUUUAUAAAGGAAUAAAGUCGGGUAUGGAUACCCGUUUGCAUGUACUUUAUGAAUAAGGAUCGGCUAACUCCGUGCCAGCAGCCGCGGUAAUACGGAGGAUCCGAGCGUUAUCCGGAUUUAUUGGGUUUAAAGGGAGCGUAGAUGGAUGUUUAAGUCAGUUGUGAAAGUUUGCGGCUCAACCGUAAAAUUGCAGUUGAUACUGGAUAUCUUGAGUGCAGUUGAGGCAGGCGGAAUUCGUGGUGUAGCGGUGAAAUGCUUAGAUAUCACGAAGAACUCCGAUUGCGAAGGCAGCCUGCUAAGCUGCAACUGACAUUGAGGCUCGAAAGUGUGGGUAUCAAACAGGAUUAGAUACCCUGGUAGUCCACACGGUAAACGAUGAAUACUCGCUGUUUGCGAUAUACAGCAAGCGGCCAAGCGAAAGCGUUAAGUAUUCCACCUGGGGAGUACGCCGGCAACGGUGAAACUCAAAGGAAUUGACGGGGGCCCGCACAAGCGGAGGAACAUGUGGUUUAAUUCGAUGAUACGCGAGGAACCUUACCCGGGCUUAAAUUGCAGAUGAAUUACGGUGAAAGCCGUAAGCCGCAAGGCAUCUGUGAAGGUGCUGCAUGGUUGUCGUCAGCUCGUGCCGUGAGGUGUCGGCUUAAGUGCCAUAACGAGCGCAACCCUUGUUGUCAGUUACUAACAGGUUCCGCUGAGGACUCUGACAAGACUGCCAUCGUAAGAUGUGAGGAAGGUGGGGAUGACGUCAAAUCAGCACGGCCCUUACGUCCGGGGCUACACACGUGUUACAAUGGGGGGUACAGAGGGCCGCUACCACGCGAGUGGAUGCCAAUCCCCAAAACCUCUCUCAGUUCGGACUGGAGUCUGCAACCCGACUCCACGAAGCUGGAUUCGCUAGUAAUCGCGCAUCAGCCACGGCGCGGUGAAUACGUUCCCGGGCCUUGUACACACCGCCCGUCAAGCCAUGGGAGCCGGGGGUACCUGAAGUGCGUAACCGCGAGGAGCGCCCUAGGGUAAAACUGGUGACUGGGGCUAAG